rnacentral:rRNA from 1 species
UACGGAAGGGGCUAGCGUUGUUCGGAAUUACUGGGCGUAAAGGGCUCGUAGGCGGCCAACUAAGUCGGACGUGAAAUCCCUCAGCUUAACUGGGGAACUGCGUCCGAUACUGGAUGGCUUGGAUUUGGGAGAGGGAUGCGGAAUUCCAGGUGUAGCGGUGAAAUGCGUAGAUAUCGUGGAGGAACACCGGUGGCGAAGGCGGCAUCCUGGACCAACAU